rnacentral:rRNA from 1 species
UACAGAGACUGCAAGCGUUAUUCGGAUUCACUGGGCGUAAAGGGUGCGCAGGCGGCCAAGUGUGUUAGGCGUGAAAGCCCGGGGCUUAACCCCGGAAUUGCACCUAAAACUACAUGGCUAGAGCAUUGGAGAGGGUAGCGGAAUUCACGGUGUAGCAGUGAAAUGCGUAGAUAUCGUGAGGAACACCAGGGGCGAAGGCGGCUACCUGGACAAUUGCUGACGCUCAGGCACGAAAGCGUGGGGAGCAAAAGGG